UGUGCUUCAGAUGGAAAGCGACUUCUGA
rnacentral:piRNA from 1 species